rnacentral:rRNA from 1 species
UUAGAUACCCUGGUAGUCCACACAGUAAACGAUGAAUACUCGCUGUUGGCGAUACAAUGUCAGCGGCCAAGCGAAAGCAUUAAGUAUUCCACCUGGGGAGUACGCCGGCAACGGUGAAACUCAAAGGAAUUGACGGGGGCCCGCACAAGCGGAGGAACAUGUGGUUUAAUUCGAUGAUACGCGAGGAACCUUACCCGGGCUUAAAUUGCAACUGACGGACUUGGAAACAGGUCUUUCUUCGGACAGUUGUGAAGGUGCUGCAUGGUUGUCGUCAGCUCGUGCCGUGAGGUGUCGGCUUAAGUGCCAUAACGAGCGCAACCCUUACCGACAGUUACCAUCAGGUAACGCUGGGGACUCUGUCGGGACUGCCGUCGUAAGAUGUGAGGAAGGUGGGGAUGACGUCAAAUCAGCACGGCCCUUACGUCCGGGGCUACACACGUGUUACAAUGGGGGGUACAGAAGGCAGCUACACGGCGACGUGAUGCUAAUCCCAAAAGCCUCUCUCAGUUCGGAUUGGAGUCUGCAACCCGACUCCAUGAAGCUGGAUUCGCUAGUAAUCGCGCAUCAGCCACGGCGCGGUGAAUACGUUCCCGGGCCUUGUCACACCGNCCGUCAAGCCAUGAAAGCCGGGGGUACCUGAAGUGCGUAACCGCAAGGAGCGCCCUAGGUAAAACUGGUGAUUGGGGCUAAGUCGUUACAAGUAAGCCCGAUUCC